rnacentral:misc_RNA from 1 species
UCAAAUCCUUGUACCGAAUGACCUGCGAACGCGUUCCAAAAAUCACAAGCGUUGUUGCGCCCUUGCUCGGCGCGGGCCGGUGACUUGUUGCCGGACGCGUCGAGCAUCGAAAACAAAAUCCGGCGCGGGAAGCGCCAAGGACUAGCGAAAUAGAGGAUGGCCUUCCCGCGGCAUCCUGGCCGCGGGGAUUAAAGGGUCUCCAAAUGAAAAUGUUGUAUACAGU